CUUUUCUUUUUAACAGCUUGCCCAACCUGAAAUCGGCUCAAUCGGAGAUAGGGUCCAACAGCUAGAAGAGCAUUUCACGUCUUGCGAUGUCCGGUGUGCCCUCGGCGGCCCUUGAAAAUCUGGAGGACCAAGUAUCGUCCAUGCCUGGUCGUACUCAUAACCGCAUCAGGUCUCCAAGGUGAACAUCCUCUGGUCAAUAGAACAAUGUAGGUAAGGGAAGUCGGCAAAAUGGAUCCGUAACUUCGGGAAAAGGAUUGACUCUGAGGGUUGGGCCUAGGGGUCUGCGUCCUCAACCCGUGGGCUGUCGACAGUCUGCCCGAGCUGCUAUUGCGGCGAGGGCGGGCAGUCGCAUGCCGAUUGGGCUACGGACGUAGAAUGUCCUCUCGCGGGGGAUUUUCCCUAGGCGGCGAACAAUCGAAUCAGAACUGGUACGGACAAGGGGAAUCCGACUGUUUAAUUGAAACAAAGCAUUGCGAUGGUCCCUGCAGAUGCUGACGCAAUGUGAUUUCUUCCCAGUGCUCUGAAUGUCAAAGUGAAGAAAAUCAACCAAGCGCGGGUAAACGGCGGGAGUAACUAUGACUCUCUUAAGGUAGCCAAAUGCCUUGUCAUCUAAUUAGUGACGUGCAUGAAUGGAUUAAUGAGAUUCCCACUGUCCCUAUCUACUAUCUAGCGAAACCACAUCCAAGGGAAUGGGCUUGGCAGAAUCAGCGGGGAAAGAAGACCCUGUUGAGCUUGACUCUAGUCCGACUUUGUGAAAUGACUUGAGAGGU
rnacentral:ncRNA from 1 species